ensembl:lncRNA
UCCCACGGCGAAGGGGACGGCCACGGGCUGCCGUCUGAGGGGACAGCUGGGCGAUUCCGAGCCGGUUGCCAACGGCGCACUCUGCCCCUCAGUCAAUUGGAGAAGGCAGUGCUUCCGCUCACCAAUCAGAGACUGGAGGAGGGCCAGAAAUGCCAUUGACCAAUGAGAGGCCAGAAGGGACGGGAUGGAGCUGCCGAUCACCAAUGAGAGGCCACCGGGGGUGGAUCAGAGCUGCUGCUGACCAAUGAGAGCCAGCAGGAGCAGGCUGGAGCUGCCGAUCACCAAUUAGAGGCCACCGGGGGUGGGUCAGAGCUGCUGCUGACCAAUCAGAGGCCGGCAUGGGUCAGAGCUGCCGCUAACCAAUGAGAGGCUGGAUGGGAGUGGGACGGAGCUGCUGCUGACUAAUGAGAAACAACGGGGGGAGGGAUGGAGCUGCAUCUGACCAAUGAGAGUCCAGAGGGGUGGGACAGAGCUACAUCUGACCAAUGAGAGGCCAGGAGAAGAAAUGACACAAUCUUCCCCGCACUGCUCAGUUUGCAGGAGUUGCCAAGUGCUGCUCCUUUUCCUUGUAUCCUUCAAUUCCAAGUCCACAUUUUCCCCAAAGCCAAAGAAUACAGCCGUAACCACCUACAGAUCAAUGAGCAAUUUCAGUAUUUAUUUCUGACUGUGGUAAUUCCUUCAGUUCAGAGGUCACCCUUAAUGUACGGUGCCCGUUUUGAUUCUGACAGAGGUUGUAGUUGCAGCUGACUUUCCAAGGCUGCAAUACGUGGUGGUGGGACAGCCUUGGGCUUCUGCGUUUGCAUUCAUCCCACGUUUCCCAUCUCUGCCUGGCAGCUCUGCUGGUGCUGGAAGUGGACGGUAUUGCAGUAUGAAUGAAGGAGCAGCUGCUGAUGGGAGGCAGGAAGUCCAGGCUCAUGAACGCUGAGGCAUCUGCCAGUACGGCACCAGAGAACGCAGUAGGGACUUUAGGGGGGCAGUUGCAGAAGAAGAUGAGGAGUUCCCCAGCAGGAAGCCACAAACCCGGCAGGAACCUGCAGGGGAAUCGCAGCAUGUGUGGGUGCCCAGGAGGAAAUGCAGCCCCAGCGUCUGAGCAGCGCCUGGCCAUGGAGUGCUGCGGCCCAAGAACAGCGCUAUUCUGCCCUUGCCGAGAUGGCUUUCCAAGGAGGACUUGUCUGUGGGGGUCAAGGAGGUUAUUUGGGUUAUGUGGGCUCGUUGGGGUCUGUCCUCACAAAAAGCAGAGGGCUGGCUCAUCCAAAAGCUUGGUGAUUGCUUGGAAGCCCAAACCCUUCUGGCCUGCAAUAACCCCAUUGGCUCCACUGACCCCAAUUACCCCUUUGAGCCAGUGACUUCAGUGACAUCACAUGAACCUUAUAACCCCAAUGAUCCCAACGAUCCCACAUGGCCCCAUUGACCCCAAUGACCCCAAGGACCCCAUUGACCCCACCAAUGCCCAUGUUUCUAAUGAUACCCAUGACCCCAUAUGACCCCAACAACACAUUUACCCCACUGACCCCAUUAACCCCACAUGACCCCAUUGACCCCAGUAACCCCAUUGACACCACAGACCCCAUUAACCCCAGUGACCCCCAAUGGCCUCAAUGACCCUAGUAACUCCAAUGACCCAUUUGUCUCCAAUAACCCACACUGACCCCAUUAUCCCCAUUCACUCCAUUGACCCCAUUGAUCCCAAUGACUUCAUUAACACCAAUGUCCCCAAUGACCCACACUGACCCCAGUGACCCCUACUGACCCAAGUAACCAUAUUGAACCCAAUGACCCCCUAGACCCCUAUGACCCCAUUGACUCCAAUGUCCCCAUAGACCCCAUAGAGCCAUUGUCUCCAAUGACCCCAGUCUGGAAGCAGCCUGGGGGAAACGUAUCCUGCUUCCAGUCAUGCAGCGCCUGAGUGAGAGGGUGACCCAGCCUGGCUACACAACAAUCGUGUGUAUUUCUCUCUUCUGAUGCUUCACAGAACACCAUUGGGUGAGCCUCCUGUUGGUUUCUUCAAAUUUGGUACCAGUCCUGGGGACCAAAACCACAGCCUGAAAGGCUGCAACCAGUCCAGGGGCUUAAAGCCACAGCCCCAGCUAGAGAGGCCAGAAGCAGCCAAGGGCCUGAGGCCACAGACACAGGCGGGGAGCCCAGCACUGGCCCUAGGACUUAAAGCCACAGCCGGAGAGGCUGACAUCAGCCCUGGGACUCAAAGCCCCAAACACAGAUGCUGGCACAGGCCCUGGGUUUCGUUUUCUACGGGUUCCCCUGGGACUCCAUUGACCACUCGGAGGCCAUACUGGUCUUGACUGGUUUUUACUGGGCUGCACAAGAGUCAUCUUCACUUCUCCAUUAUUCAAAUAACCCCACUGGGUGACCCUGGUGGUGAUUUCCUAAGAUGUGGAUCAGGGAGUCGUCCAUUUCCUUCGCUUAUGAUGAAAGCACGGAAGCGAUGCGGGCACUCGCUGAGGUCACAAUCACUGCUGGGCUGGCAGCGUUUCCGCCACAGCUGGUGAGCAGAGCUGGUGCUCUGGUGAGCGUGCUGCACACCGAGGCUGAGCUCUGGGCCUUCCGUGGAACAGAUCACCCUGUGAGAGCCCGUCAGAAGCACCGCGUGUGCACUCGUCGGUACUCUCUGCAGGGUUCCUGUCCCAAGGGAGAUUUUGGGAUCGAGGCAGUCGCAGGAAGAGGGAAGCCAGCUCUUUGCAAGGGCCGGGGAAGUUCCUGUGCACAGAGGCCUGGGAACUUCAUCAUCCUCUGAGCCUUCAGCGGCCAUGUCUCAGCACGGAGACGACCGCGGUUCCAAUUGCUGCCGUCUGAGUGGCAAGGUAUGGCUGGGCUUCUU